AUGAUGUCGCCGCCGACGAACGGCUCCGCCUCGCUUCCCGUGACGGACCUGUCCGACGCGGUACUCUUCCCCUUCGACGGCUUCUCCGCCGACGACUUCUUCGCCACCGCCCCGCCUCCGCUUCCUCCUACUCUCGGCGCCGACCCGGGGCGCCUCCUCCUCGCGUCCUCCCGCAACGACGUCCACGCCUCCACGGACCUGGCCGUCGCGGCGCCCGUGGAGACCACCGGGAGCUCCUCCGCGCUGGCCGCGGCGCUGCCACUGACGCCGAGCUCCGGCCAAAGGACGUCGUGCUACCGCGGGGUGACCAGGCACCGGUGGACCAAACGGUACGAGGCGCACCUGUGGGACAACACGUGCCGCCGCGAGGGCCAGAAACGCAAGGGACGCCAAGUUUACUUGGGUGGCUAUGAAAAAGAAGAUAGGGCUGCUAGGGCAUAUGAUCUUGCUGCUCUGAAAUACUGGGGUGUCAAUGCUACUACUAAUUUCCCUAAAGAAAACUACAUCAGAGAGCUUGAGGAGAUGCAAAACAUGAGCAGGCACGAGCUUGUAGCUUCACUGAGGAGGAAGAGCAGUGGCUUCUCUAGGGGUGCAUCGGUGUACAGAGGUGUCACAAGGCACCACCAACAUGGACGCUGGCAGGCAAGAAUUGGUCGUGUUGCAGGCAACAAGGACUUGUACCUGGGGACUUUCGCAACCGAAGAAGAAGCGGCGGAGGCGUACGACAUCGCAGCGCUGAAGUUCAGGGGCGACAAUGCCGUCACCAACUUCGAGCCCAGCCGGUACAACCUGGAGGCGAUCGCCUGCAGCGACCUUCCGGUCAACGGGAGGCGGAUGAGCAGCCACAAGCCAACAGCGGCAGCAGCACCAGAAGCGCAAGGCGAGAUUACCUUCGUGUCCUCGGCUCCUCCGAUUCCCCAGCAGUCGUGCAGUGACGUGCAAGUGCCACCUUACGUCCUCCACGGCCUUCUGCAGCUCCAGGCCUCUGAGCCCCUGCAUGCUCUGCCGCUUUCGAGCUACAGCUUUGGGGAGCCCAGCUUCUACUGGCCCUUCGGCGACGUGGAGCAGAAGGUGCAGCUUGACAGCAAGGUGGAAGUGGCUGGUGGCAUCCUUCAGCUGGCCAACUCGGCUGUGUAG
rnacentral:rRNA from 1 species